rnacentral:rRNA from 1 species
CACGUAGGGCGCAAGCGUUGUUCGGAUUUACUGGGCGUAAAGGGCGCGUAGGCGGCGCAACAAGUCACUUGUGAAAUCUCCGGGCUUAACCCGGAGCGGCCAAGUGAUACUGUCGUGCUAGAGUGCGGAAGGGGCUACUGGAAUUCUCGGUGUAGCGGUGAAAUGCGUAGAUAUCGAGAGGAACACCUGCGGCGAAGGCGGGUAGCUGGGCCGACACUGACGCUGAGGCGCGAAAGCCAGGGGAGCGAACGGG